GAUGAACGCUGGCGGCGUGCCUAAUACAUGCAAGUCGAGCGAACGGACGAGAAGCUUGCUUCUCUGAUGUUAGCGGCGGACGGGUGAGUAACACGUGGAUAACCUACCUAUAAGACUGGGAUAACUUCGGGAAACCGGAGCUAAUACCGGAUAAUAUUUUGAACCGCAUGGUUCAAAAGUGAAAGACGGUCUUGCUGUCUCUUAUAGAUGGAUCCGCGCUGCAUUAGCUAGUUGGUAAGGUAACGGCUUACCAAGGCAACGAUGCAUAGCCGACCUGAGAGGGUGAUCGGCCACACUGGAACUGGGACACGGUCCCGACUCCUACGGGAGGCAGCAGUAGGGAAUCUUCCGCAAUGGGCGAAAGCCUGACGGAGCAACGCCGCGUGAGUGAUGAAGGUCUUCGGAUCGUAAAACUCUGUUAUUAGGGAAGAACAUAUGUGUAAGUAACUGUGCACAGCUUGACGGUACCUAAUCAGAAAGCCACGGCUAACUACGUG
rnacentral:rRNA from 1 species